AGUGAACGCUGGCGGUAGGCCUAACACAUGCAAGUCGAACGGCAGCACAGUAAGAGCUUGCUCUUACGGGUGGCGAGUGGCGGACGGGUGAGGAAUACAUCGGAAUCUACUUUUUCGUGGGGGAUAACGUAGGGAAACUUACGCUAAUACCGCAUACGACCUACGGGUGAAAGCAGUGGAUCUUCGGACCUUGCGCGAUUGAAUGAGCCGAUGUGGGAUUAGAUAGUUGGCGGGGUAAAUGCCCACCAAGGGGACGAUCCGUAGCUGGUCUGAGAGGAUGAUCAGCCACACGGGAAGUGAGACACGGUCCAGACUACUGAGGGAGGCAGCAGUGGGGAAUAUUGGACAAUGGGCGCAAGCCUGAUCCAGCCAUACCGCGUGGGUGAAGAAGGCCUUCGGGUUGUAAAGCCCUUUUGUUGGGAAAGAAAAGCAGCAGGUUAAUACCCCGCUGUUCUGACGGUAACCAAAGAAUAAGCACCGGCUAACUUCGUG
rnacentral:rRNA from 1 species